AUUUUGGCUUGCAAAAAAUGCUGAUGAAGAGAAUAUAUCGACAGGCAUUCUCCAAGAGGAGCUUCCCGAGUCUCGACCGGCUGCAAAAACGCCCCCGUCUCCCGCGUCUCUCUCCCCGGCCACCUCGCAGAGUUCAUCGGGGACACGGAGAAGCUGCCGAGUCCUGCGCCGCCGACGAACACAGAUGCGCCGGAGUUCAACUGAGUGUGAACCAGCGACGUGUUCCGGUGGUGAACGGUGCCGAUUCUCCUGGAAUAGGCCGCCGUCCUCCAGUUUUCAUUUUGCAAUCACAUCCUCUCUGUGCUCAGUCCACGCCACAUCUCCAGACAGUAUGGAUGGCAGCUGAGACAAAGCCCAGCAUUCUCCAGCACAGAGGGCCCCCUCUUACUUUUAUUUCAGGCCACUGCUCUCAGACACAGACCAUUCUGCGCCGAGCACCCAAAGAUGGCAGCCAGAAAGGGAAGGAGAGAGAAAAGGGAACGAGGUAGGCCUGAGGAGGCUGAGGGGGGACGUGUGGAAAAAGUGGGCGGAGGCUCUGGCGAGAACCAAAACUCGCUGCCAUCCUCACUACCUGAUGGUUACUCCGGCCUGUUUCAACCCCCCCUCCACCGUGCUGCAGUGCGGUACCACGCCCCACUUUGUACUGCAAAAAAAAAAAAAACGUAAAAUUGGACACGCACAAGGACAGCCGAGUCAGUCACUCUGAGUAGAUUACAUUCAAACUUCGGUCUGGGUGCAGAAAGUUCUGUUAAACCCCCGAAAAGCUCUGUGUGGGUGUUAAGCCUGCAUCAUAGUUCAGUGCUCGGCUUUGUUAGGCCUAACAGUGGCUUUCAUUUGAACUUUUGUUUAAAUGUAAGGUGAAAAAUUGGAUUUUGUGAAAUGGUUUGGAAAUCUUUUCCACCUAUGUACCACUAAUACACCAAAUGUGUUAGUAAAUGUUUUAUAAAUGGACGUAUGUUUAAAUUAGUACCUUAUUAAACUAACUUAUGUACUCGGUGUUCUUGAGGGGCACACCUAGCAUCUAACUGAGAUGGCGAUAAUGGAGAAUCCCACAUAUUAAUAGAUGCAUAAAAACGUAUUUGAAUGUGCGUACCAAUGCAUAUGGGUAUAUGUAUGUAUGUUUGUAGGUAUAUGGAGGCAGGUGUGUGCGGUUGUAUGAAUGUGUAUAUAUGUGUUUAUAUGGGUAUGUAUAAUUGUUUCUGUUGAACAAAGGGGUGAAGGACAAUAAGCUACACUUCUUACUCCUUUUUUAAUAUGUCAGCUAUUUUUAUUUGUAUUUUUUUGGUUAUGCUUUCUUAAGUCUUGUUAUUGUGAAAUGUAUGCUGUGUUGUAAUAAGUGUGAAGAAAAUAUUUACAUAUUCAAAGUAAAUCAAUUUGAAAUGUAGUGAAUCUGAUGUCCAUGUAGGAUCCUUCAUUUGAUCUAGAGGAACUGACUGUACAAAGGCAUCAGUCAGGAGAUGGGUAGAAAAAAGUUCUGCACAUACCACAAAAUGGUGAAGGCAGCCGUCUGUUAUUGAAGGAAGUAUGGAACAACGGGGACAUUACAAAAACUGGACUUUUCUCCAAAACAAGUCAAAAGACAAGACUGCCACUGUACAGAGAGGCGACCAAGAAGCACCAAAGAAUCUGCAGGAAUUACUGCUGGUCUUUAUGUUGCAGCAAUCUCCUGCGAUGUCAAUAUGUCUAGGCUGAGGAGCAGGAUUACAAAACACACAGAAGUCUCCCAAAACCUGGUGGAAGGUUGUUGAACCUCUGGGCUAUAGUAUCUGCGGGUAAGUUUUCCACAAACUACCACUGGGAAUCAUGGAAAGAACACCAAUCCCAAGGUAAAACACGGUGGCGACAGCAUCAGAUAGAAAACAGGAUUUUGUCACAGCAGGCGGAUAGUUAUGAAUUGUUCCAAAUAUCAGCUUUGGUUGAAAAUCUUUAGGGGCCGGAUAAAAACAAGCUAGAAAUUAAUGACACAGCAUAAAGUCAUUAAUUUCAGAAAAAUAAUAUAAUGACUUGGUAAUAGAAAAAUAAAACAAAGUUCAGUAUUUAGAAAUGUGGUCUUACCUGAAGGGGACUCAAGACAAGAGAUGUGCUUACAAUCAGACAGAUUUGGAGAACCUUUGCCAAGGAAAUGUCAAAAAGUCAAGAUCUGAAACCCUCCUACCUGUUAUGCUUUCCUCCUUCACACAGAUGUGAUAUUUUAAGCUAAGCAGUACAAGAUUAAUAUUAAAUAGUUAUGGAACAAUUUA